rnacentral:rRNA from 1 species
AUUGAACGCUGGCGGCAUGCCUUACACAUGCAAGUCGAACGGCAGCAUGAUCUAGCUUGCUAGAUUGAUGGCGAGUGGCGAACGGGUGAGGAAUACAUCGGAACGUGCCCUGUAGUGGGGGAUAACUAGUCGAAAGAUUAGCUAAUACCGCAUACGACCUGAGGGUGAAAGUGGGGGACCGCAAGGCCUCAUGCUAUAGGAGCGGCCGAUGUCUGAUUAGCUAGUUGGUGAGGUAAAGGCUCACCAAGGCGACGAUCAGUAGCUGGUCUGAGAGGACGAUCAGCCACACUGGGACUGAGACACGGCCCAGACUCCUACGGGAGGCAGCAGUGGGGAAUUUUGGACAAUGGGCGAAAGCCUGAUCCAGCAAUGCCGCGUGUGUGAAGAAGGCCUUCGGGUUGUAAAGCACUUUUGUCCGGAAAGAAAUGGCUCUGGUUAAUACCUGGGGUCGAUGACGGUACCGGAAGAAUAAGGACCGGCUAACUACGUG